rfam:Desulfobacterium autotrophicum HRM2, complete genome.
GAGGGAGGGCCCCUCGAAGCCGCCAUGCAGGUGGAGGCUUCAAACCACCGUAAGCUGCGUCGGUUAAGAGCCGGGGUGGUGAGCGUUACGGAAAAGGCAAGACCAGAUUUUGUCAGGU